rnacentral:rRNA from 1 species
UACACACGGAUAACAUACCGAAAGGUAUGCUAAUACGGGAUAAUAUAUUUGAGAGGCAUCUCUUGAAUAUCAAAGGUGAGCCAGUACAGGAUGGACCCGCGUCUGAUUAGCUAGUUGGUAAGGUAACGGCUUACCAAGGCGACGAUCAGUAGCCGACCUGAGAGGGUGAUCGGCCACAUUGGAACUGAGACACGGUCCAAACUCCUACGGGAGGCAGCAGUGGGGAAUAUUGCACAAUGGGCGAAAGCCUGAUGCAGCAACGCCGCGUGAGUGAUGAAGGCCUUCGGGUCGUAAAACUCUGUCCUCAAGGAAGAUAAUGACGGUACUUGAGGAGGAAGCCCCGGCUAACUACGCGCCAGCAGCCGCGGUAAUACGUAGGGGGCUAGCGUUAUCCGGAUUUACUGGGCGUAAAGGGUGCGUAGGCGGUCUUUCAAGUCAGGAGUGAAAGGCUACGGCUCAACCGUAGUAAGCUCUUGAAACUGGGAGACUUGAGUGCAGGAGAGGAGAGUGGAAUUCCUAGUGUAGCGGUGAAAUGCGUAGAUAUUAGGAGGAACACCAGUUGCGAAGGCGGCUCUCUGGACUGUAACUGACGCUGAGGCACGAAAGCGUGGGGAGCAAACAGGAUUAGAUACCCUGGUAGUCCACGCUGUAAACGAUGAGUACUAGGUGUCGGGGGUUACCCCCUUCGGUGCCGCAG